rnacentral:rRNA from 1 species
CAGUAGCCACGGGAAAACAGAGGAUGCAAGCGUUAUUCGGAAUUAUUGGGCGUAAAGGGCUCGCAGGCGGUUUCUUAAGUCUGAUGUGAAAGCCCCCGGCUCAACCGGGGAGGGUCAUUGGAAACUGGGAAACUUGAGUGCAGAAGAGGAGAGUGGAAUUCCACGUGUAGCGGUGAAAUGCGUAGAGAUGUGGAGGAACACCAGUGGCGAAGGCGACUCUCUGGUCUGUAUCUGACGCUGAGGAGCGAAAGCGUGGGGAGCGAACAGGAUUAGAUACCCCCGUAGUCCCUGUCUCUUAUAC